rnacentral:rRNA from 1 species
GAGUUUGAUCCUGGCUCAAAGCGAACGCUGGCGGCAGGCUUAACACAUGCAAGUCGAGCGGGCGUAGCAAUACGUCAGCGGCAGACGGGUGAGUAACGCGUGGGAACGUACCUUUUGGUUCGGAACAACACAGGGAAACUUGUGCUAAUACCGGAUAAGCCCUUACGGGGAAAGAUUUAUCGCCGAAAGAUCGGCCCGCGUCUGAUUAGCUAGUUGGUGAGGUAACGGCUCACCAAGGCGACGAUCAGUAGCUGGUCUGAGAGGAUGAUCAGCCACAUUGGGACUGAGACACGGCCCAAACUCCUACGGGAGGCAGCAGUGGGGAAUAUUGGACAAUGGGCGCAAGCCUGAUCCAGCCAUGCCGCGUGAGUGAUGAAGACCCUAGGGUUGUAAAGCUCUUUUGUGCGGGAAGAUAAUGACGGUACCGCAAGAAUAAGCCCCGGCUAACUUCGUGCCAGCAGCCGCGGUGAUACGAAGGGGGCUAGCGUUGCUCGGAAUCACUGGGCGUAAAGGGUGCGUAGGCGGGUCUUUAAGUCAGGGGUGAAAUCCUGGAGCUCAACUCCAGAACUGCCCUUGAUACUGAGGAUCUUGAGUUCGGGAGAGGUGAGUGGAACUGCGAGUGUAGAGGUGAAAUUCGUAGAUAUUCGCAAGAACACCAGUGGCGAAGGCGGCUCACUGGCCCGAUACUGACGCUGAGGCACGAAAGCGUGGGUAGCGAACAGGAUUAGAUACCCUGGUAGUC